CACUAUCGUUAACUGAAUACAUAGGUUAACGAGGCGAACCGGGGGAACUGAAACAUCUAAGUACCCCGAGGAAAAGAAAUCAACCGAGAUUCCCCCAGUAGCGGCGAGCGAACGGGGAGCAGCCCAGAGUCUGAAUCAGCUUGUGUGUUAGUGGAACGGUCUGGAAAGUCCGACGGUACAGGGUGAUAGUCCCGUACACCAAAAUGCACAGGCUGUGAACUCGAAGAGUAGGGCGGGACACGUGGUAUCCUGUCUGAAUAUGGGGGGACCAUCCUCCAAGGCUAAAUACUCCUGACUGACCGAUAGUGAACCAGUACCGUGAGGGAAAGGCGAAAAGAACCCCGGCGAGGGGAGUGAAAAAGAACCUGAAACCGUGUACGUACAAGCAGUGGGAGCACCUUCGGGUGUGACUGCGUACCUUUUGUAUAAUGGGUCAGCGACUUAUAUUCUGUAGCAAGGUUAACCGUAUAGGGGAGCCGCAGGGAAACCGAGUCUUAACUGGGCGUUAAGUUGCAGGGUAUAGACCCGAAACCCGGUGAUCUAGCCAUGGGCAGGUUGAAGGUUGGGUAACACUAACUGGAGGACCGAACCGACUAAUGUUGAAAAAUUAGCGGAUGACUUGUGGCUGGGGGUGAAAGGCCAAUCAAACCGGGAGAUAGCUGGUUCUCCCCGAAAGCUAUUUAGGUAGCGCCUCGUGAAUUCAUCUUCGGGGGUAGAGCACUGUUUCGGCUAGGGGGUCAUCCCGACUUACCAACCCGAUGCAAACUACGAAUACCGAAGAAUGUUAUCACGGGAGACACACGGCGGGUGCUAACGUCCGUCGUGAAGAGGGAAACAACCCAGACCGCCAGCUAAGGUCCCAAAGUCAUGGUUAAGUGGGAAACGAUGUGGGAAGGCACAGACAGCCAGGAUGUUGGCUUAGAAGCAGCCAUCAUUUAAAGAAAGCGUAAUAGCUCACUGGUCGAGUCGGCCUGCGCGGAAGAUGUAACGGGGCUAAACCAUGCACCGAAGCUGCGGCAGCGACACUAUGUGUUGUUGGGUAGGGGAGCGUUCUGUAAGCCUGCGAAGGUGACCUGUGAGGGUUGCUGGAGGUAUCAGAAGUGCGAAUGCUGACAUAAGUAACGAUAAAGCGGGUGAAAAGCCCGCUCGCCGGAAGACCAAGGGUUCCUGUCCAACGUUAAUCGGGGCAGGGUGAGUCGACCCCUAAGGCGAGGCCGAAAGGCGUAGUCGAUGGGAAACAGGUUAAUAUUCCUGUACUUGGUGUUACUGCGAAGGGGGGACGGAGAAGGCUAUGUUAGCCGGGCGACGGUUGUCCCGGUUUAAGCAUGUAGGCUGGUUGUCCAGGCAAAUCCGGAUAAUCAAGGCUGAGGUGUGAUGACGAGGCACUACGGUGCUGAAGUAACAAAUGCCCUGCUUCCAGGAAAAGCCUCUAAGCAUCAGGUAACAUCAAAUCGUACCCCAAACCGACACAGGUGGUCAGGUAGAGAAUACCAAGGCGCUUGAGAGAACUCGGGUGAAGGAACUAGGCAAAAUGGUGCCGUAACUUCGGGAGAAGGCACGCUGGUGUGUAGGUGAAGUCCCUGCGGAUGGAGCUGAGACCAGUCGAAGAUACCAGCUGGCUGCAACUGUUUAUUAAAAACACAGCACUGUGCAAACACGAAAGUGGACGUAUACGGUGUGACGCCUGCCCGGUGCCGGAAGGUUAAUUGAUGGGGUUAUCCGUAAGGAGAAGCUCUUGAUCGAAGCCCCGGUAAACGGCGGCCGUAACUAUAACGGUCCUAAGGUAGCGAAAUUCCUUGUCGGGUAAGUUCCGACCUGCACGAAUGGCGUAAUGAUGGCCAGGCUGUCUCCACCCGAGACUCAGUGAAAUUGAACUCGCUGUGAAGAUGCAGUGUACCCGCGGCAAGACGGAAAGACCCCGUGAACCUUUACUAUAGCUUGACACUGAACAUUGAGCCUUGAUGUGUAGGAUAGGUGGGAGGCUUUGAAGCGUGGACGCCAGUCUGCGUGGAGCCAACCUUGAAAUACCACCCUUUAAUGUUUGAUGUUCUAACGUUGGCCCCUGACCGGGGUUGCGGACAGUGUCUGGUGGGUAGUUUGACUGGGGCGGUCUCCUCCCAAAGCGUAACGGAGGAGCACGAAGGUUAGCUAAUCCUGGUCGGACAUCAGGAGGUUAGUGCAAUGGCAUAAGCUAGCUUGACUGCGAGCGUGACGGCGCGAGCAGGUGCGAAAGCAGGUCAUAGUGAUCCGGUGGUUCUGAAUGGAAGGGCCAUCGCUCAACGGAUAAAAGGUACUCCGGGGAUAACAGGCUGAUACCGCCCAAGAGUUCAUAUCGACGGCGGUGUUUGGCACCUCGAUGUCGGCUCAUCACAUCCUGGGGCUGAAGUAGGUCCCAAGGGUAUGGCUGUUCGCCAUUUAAAGUGGUACGCGAGCUGGGUUUAGAACGUCGUGAGACAGUUCGGUCCCUAUCUGCCGUGGGCGCUGGAGAAUUGAGGGGGGCUGCUCCUAGUACGAGAGGACCGGAGUGGACGCAUCACUGGUGUUCGGGUUGUCAUGCCAAUGGCACUGCCCGGUAGCUAAAUGCGGAAGAGAUAAGUGCUGAAAGCAUCUAAGCACGAAACUUGCCCCGAGAUGAGUUCUCCCUGAGACUUUAAGUCUCCUGAAGGAACGUUGAAGACGACGACGUUGAUAGGCCGGGUGUGUAAGCGCAGCGAUGCGUUGAGCUAACCGGUACUAAUGAACCGUGAGGCUUAACCUUACAACGCCGAAG
rnacentral:rRNA from 3 species